UAACAUUUAUGUGUGUCAAUUGCAUCCUCACCAAUUAUCGUUUUUACAGAACGCAAAGUUUGAUUUCAUUUUUUUGCUCCUAAGUGUAUUAUUGUUGUUCUUUUUUUAAUGAAAUAAAAUGCACGACUAGAUUACCUCUAGGUACUUGCUCUUCAGUUAAAAACAAUUUUUUAUAACAAAUUAUGAGUUGUAGGUAUGACUUUGGCAUAGUAAAAUUGAACUCUACAACAGAAUUUGUAUAUUUAAUUGAUAUAAUUAAUUAGAUAUAUCAUUAAAUGUUACUUUUAUUACAUUUUCUUCACAAAUAUACAAUUAAAGUUCACAAUUCAUAAAAUCGGAGAAGAGAAGAACUCAGUUCUUACCCUGCAAACCAAACCUCAGUAGUUUAGGGGAAAUUACAACCACCAACAAAGUCUUUACUUUGUAGAUGUAUGUGUUUCCUUAUUUACCAAAAAUAUUGUAGUUUUGUUUCUCCUGAAAAAAUAAACUCUUUGGUAAAUGGGAGGAAAAGAGUGCGAUGUAUGCAAUGCUCAAGGUUUUCUCUCUUUUGUAAUGGCGGCUCGCCAUUUUCCUGCAUUUCUAGUGAAACCUUGAUAGCCACAGCAACAUAAGCUAAGCAAAAAAAAAACAUUUCUGUGCUCCAAAAUAAAACAAUUUAAUUUGAAAAAAUAAAUAUCGUCUUAAUCAGUGUUAUUUGUGAAAAUUAUUUUCAAUGCACAAUGUGUAGUAGCACAAAUUCUUCGGCACGCCACAAAAAUUCCACCACCAUUUCUUUCCAUCAUCAAAAUGCACAACCUCAGCCUUGUGCAUUUAGAAAAAUUAAAAUAAAAAAAAUGAUACAAAAACCACCACCCAUGGAUUUGGAAAAUAUAUAGUGGAGAUCAAUUCCAGACAUGAAUGACUGAGUUUACAGUUCGAAAUUUUCCUCCACGCCAUCCAGAACGAGUGAAACGAAUCUUAUGUUUAGUAGAGACUACAAUACUUGAGUGUGAUCCACAUUUCACAGACUUGUAGUGUCUGCACCCUCCGACCACUUGUUGAUGUGUUCGCUCUAAUCCUAGACAAAAACAACAUUCAACAAUUCUAUGUCGAGUAUAAAAAUGACGUCAGAGACUCCUUGCUCGCCACACUAUUGGAUGCAGUCCGUUCGAGUGACAAUCAAGAUGUGCAAGUUCGUAUUACAAAUACAUUGCGAGGAAAGCAUUUUGUUCCCCUCAACAGUUGUGUGCAUGAAGCGACUCUCCUUCGUUUAGUGAUAAAGAAUUUCCAAAAUUUCUGACGUAGAUGUAAGAUUUAAGAGAAAUUCAACGCCAACAUUCCUCAUAGAAGUCUGAAGUAAAGUGUCACACAAGACGUUCAUGUUUUGAUAUACAAUUCGAAUGAAUAAAUCUAAAUCUCUAACCAAAGUUUUAACUUCAGAGUUUAUUUGUAAUUUCAUUUGUAGUUUCAAAAGGUUUAGAUUUACUAGGAACAAACUACUUCUCUUCGUACAAAUUUCACCACUUAAUUACGUACUUCUAGAUUCAAGGAGCCAUAUGGAGUUUCAGUGGUUUUUAUGUAGCUAAAAAAGUACUGGAAAAUGUACAUCAGAAGCACUUCCAGAUGUGCUUCGCUGAUGUAGUUUUGAAGUACAUUUGUCUGUACUUUUAAUGGAGGGGAAAUUCAUUUCAUCUUGCAUGCAAGAAAGAGAUAGAUGCUUCACGUAUUCUUAUAUACAGAAAGUAUAUAACUGAGUUUUUUCCCGAACUCCUAUCUUUUUUCAGUGGAAAAGAAGUAUGUACUUCUUUUACGUACAUAUUUCCCCGGUUUUUUCUGUAGUUCUACGUCGAGCUGUCAGUUGAAAACUUCGAUGGAACGGACGCAACGGAUUCUAUGGGUUGGGCCCUAUAGAAUGACAUAUGGCUGUGUAAGUGUCAACAAUGACAUAUGUCGGUUAGCAGUUUAGUGUGUUUUCGUGGAUCGAUAAUACAGUUCAUCCAAGCGAGUUCACAGAUUGAAAUUUGAUUCGGUUGCGGAUCGAGUAGAUUCCCGGGGACUGAGUCACUGCGUCUUCUGUAAUAGGCAUGAUUGCCUUUUUAUGUGUACUGUGGUGCAAAAUUUAACUGAAAAAUUUAGCAACAACUGUGGUGAAUGACCCACCAAGUGUCCAUGGGUGCGUAAAUACGAAACACACAGAAACCUAGAAGGUCAUUCACCACACCUCGCAGCUUGAUGGCAAAAUUGAUUUGACAGCUCAGUCUUGGUAAAGUUUGUCGAACGCAUGCUAUAAAUCAUGUAAUUAGAGGCCAAUAGCCCUGUUCCAUUGGAUGUGGUAGUUUAUUCGUGAGUAGAAAUCUAGUACAACAACUACACAUUCGUAUAUCCUCGAGUACAUAGAGGAAGAAGUACAUAGAGUUCAUGCUCGAGUAGAAGAUCAUGCCCUGCAAACCAAACCUCAGUAGUUUAGGGGAAAUUACAACCACCAACAAAGUCUAUACUUUGUAGAUGUAUGUGUUUCCUUAUUUACCAAAAUCUCUCCCCUCAAAAUAUUGUAGUUUUGUUUCUCCUGAAAAAAAUAAACUCUUUGGUAAAUGGGCGGAAAAGAGCGCGAUGUAUGCAAUGCACAAAGUUUUGUCUCUUUUGUAAUGGAGGCUCGCGUUUGAUUUUACUUUUCCUGCAUUUUAUAUUUUCUAGUGAAACCUUGAUAGCCACAGCAACAUAUAUGUUAAGAAAAAAAAACAUUUCUGUGCUCCAUUUGAUAGAUAAAUAGAACAAUUUAACUUAAAAAAAAUAAAUAAUCUUCUCAAUGUUAUUUGUGAAAACAAUUUUCUAAAAAAAACAAUCUACCAACAUUUCCACCAUCAAAAUGCACAGCCUCAGCCUUGUGCAUUUAGAAAAAAAAAAAAAUCAUAAAAAAAUGACACAAAAACCACCACCAAUUGAUUUGGAAA